rnacentral:rRNA from 1 species
GACGAACGCUGGCGGCGUGCUUAACACAUGCAAGUCGAACGGAAAGGCCCUGCUUUUGUGGGGUGCUCGAGUGGCGAACGGGUGAGUAACACGUGAGUAACCUGCCCUUGACUUUGGGAUAACUUCAGGAAACUGGGGCUAAUACCGGAUAGGAGCUCCUGCUGCAUGGUGGGGGUUGGAAAGUUUCGGCGGUUGGGGAUGGACUCGCGGCUAAUCAGCUUGUUGGUGGGGUAGUGGCUUACCAAGGCUUUGAUGGGUAGCCGGCCUGAGAGGGUGACCGGCCACAUUGGGACUGAGGUACGGCGCAGAGUCCUACGGGAGGCAGCAGUGGGGAAUAUUGCACAAUGGGGGGAAGCCUGAUGCAGCAGCGCCCCGUGCGGGAUGACGGCCUUCGGGUUGUAAACCGCUGUCGCCUGUGACGAAGCGUGAGUGACGGUAAUGGGUAAAGAAGCACCGGCUAACUACGUG